AUGUCUCCAUGAAUACGAGUCCGUGCUCUCGUGCGAAUGCUUCUCCCUCUUCACGUUUCACUUCGCGACGGGCUUCCAGGUCACUGAAAACAUUUAUUUUAUUUUUUUGAAUAAAAAUGUGUUUAUUUGGAAAACCAAAUUUCUAUAAAUUGUUCGAUUUUGUAGAGAAAUUUUUGAACAAUCGAUCCUUGAAUUUUGCAAAAGGCAACUUGACACUUCACACAGAAAGAGAUGCGGAGCGUGAAUUCGCAACCCAGUGGCACUGUUUUUUCUCCUUUUUUUCACAGCUUUUAAUCAAAAAGGUUUCGAUUUUACUAUUUUUUUAGUUUUGUUCUUUUUUUUCGAAUGAGAAUGCAGUGGAAAACCGGCGAAAAUUUUUAUUUUCAAAAUUCAAGGAUCGAUCGUUGAAUUUCAACAGUAGUUAACCUAUUUUUCGAUAUAUUAAAAACCAAUAAUCUAUAUUUUAAAAAAAUGUUACCUCUUAUUUCCAAUCAACAUAAUAACCAUAUUGGAAUUACUGUGCUGCCUGGCAUCCUCAAGCCAAGAUGUCAAAUGAUUGAAUGUGUCGCGUCGUGUAAUGUCGUAGACGAGAAGAGCUCCGGCGGCUCCACGAUAAUAGGAACGAGUGAUGGAGCGGAAUGAUUCUUGUCCGGCUGUG
rnacentral:sRNA from 1 species